rnacentral:rRNA from 1 species
UCGCCUGUUUAUCAAAAACAUGUCUUUUUGAUAAUAAUUUAAAGUCUGACCUGCCCACUGAAUUUAAAAAAUUUGAAGGGCCGCGGUAUUUUGACCGUGCAAAGGUAGCAUAAUCAUUAGUCUUUUAAUUGGAGGCUGGAAUGAAUGGUUGGACGAGGUAUUGACUGUCUCAGUAUAAAUGUAAAUAGAAUUUAUCUUUUAAGUCAAAAGAUAUAAAUGAUGUUAGAGGACGAGAAGACCCUAUAGAGCUUUAUAUUGAAAUAUUAUUAUUUACUUAGAAGUUUUUUUAUAAUAGUGGUAUCAAUAUUUUGUUGGGGUGACAGGAAGAUAUAAUAAACUCUUUUUAGUUUAGGUACAUUUAUGUAUGAAUUGAUGAUCCAUUAGUAAUGAUUAGAAGACUAAGUUACCUUAGGGAUAACAGCGUAAUCUUUUUCGAGAGUUCUUAUCGACAAAAAGGGUUGCGACCUCGAUGUUGGAUUAAGGGUAAUUUUGGGUGUAGAUGUUCAAAGUUUAGGUCUGUUCGACCUUUAAAUCCUUACAUGAUCUGAGUUCAAACCGGAGA